CACUCACUAUACACUAAACACUACCCACUGACAUUUCAUAUCUUAGCUUCCUAUUGCCACUCAUGGGUUCCUCUCCAAAACUCUGCUCCUUUUUCUUCCUCUUAGCCCUUUUCUUUAUGCAAACUUAUGCUAGAGACAGCCAGUUCUUUAGCAAGGUCUCUCCCACCACCAUCAACAGCAAAGAGGCUGCGGUGAUCCCCAACGUAGAAGAAGAGAACUUGAAGAAGCAAGAACAAGAGCCAACCUUCAUGCCAGAGAACCAAAAUGGUUAUGGCCUGUAUGGUCAAGAGUCCACCCAGACCCAAUUUCCGACCACCACUAAACUGGGAAAUGCACCCUACACUACCACCACCACUUACAGCCCCUACAGAACCCAGAUCCAAAACCAAGAAACCUCCACCAGCUACCCCAACACCAACACCAAUUACUUCGAUAAAAAUCGAUACAGCAACAAUGCAUUCGAGGAGGAGCAACAAAAUUUGGGUGAAACAAGCCUCCAUGAAAGAAGCUACACCCCCACGACCAACCAGAACAACAACUAUUACUACAAUGGUGCAAAUGGGUACAAAAACGAAGGGAAGCAAGGCAUGAGUGACACCAGAUUCUUGGAAAAUGGGAAGUACUAUUAUGAUAUCAAGGGUGAGAUGAGCAACUACUACCCAAAUCAGUACCAUAAUUCAAGAAACAAUUACGAUACUAGGGGUUAUUACAAUAACAACAACGAGAAUUUCUAUGACAAUUCCAUGCAAAGCUAUCAGAACCAGGAGAACUUCCAAGAGGCCCAAGAUGAGCAGUACGUGCCUUGAUUUAAUCUUUUUUAGGCUUUGAGAUCAAGAGGUGAAGUACUGAAGAAAAUGAUGAGGUUGGUUCAACUAUAAUUAAUGGGUGAUGUUAUUAGAAGUUAAAUUAAAAUAUAUGUUCUUGUGAAAAGAUUAAAAAAAAUAUCAAUCAAUUUAUUGUGGUUAUUAUAAUUUGAUCUUCUUUAAUGUUUGCUUAGGCUUCUUGCUUUCAAAAACAGAGGUAUAUCAGAGAGUAUGGUUAUAUUUUAUUAAUAAUUAAUUCAGUGAAUGCAUAUGGCUUUUUGUGUUGC
rnacentral:misc_RNA from 1 species